ensembl:lncRNA
AAAUACAAAGUUAACAAAAAAAAAAAAAAAAACUUUAUUUCUGCUAGUUGCCAAGGCAACAUUUCUCAGUUCAGCUUGUACUAAAAAUAACAACAAAACAAUAUAGAUAUUUUAAAAAUAAUGCAAUUACAAAAACUUUAAAAUGAACAUGAAAACUAAUUCAAGAUAUUAAUAAAAACAAUAUGAAGUAAAAUGACAGACUGCAGUUGAAGAGUGAUUGUUCCUGUGCUUGGUUCAGGUCCAGAUCCGGCUCGGCUCCCAGGAGCAGCUAACAUGCUGCUGCGCCUCACCUGUGUGUGUGUGUGUGUGUGUUGAUGCAGAACUUCUGUUUCUUCAGGUCUGGAUCAGUCAGGAGAUCCAAGACUGGCUCUCUGGCUAGGAGGUGGCGCUGUCCUUCAGCGCUGGUUUCUCAGAAUAGACCCGUGUUGUCUCCUGGCUGUGGUUUGGUCGUGUUCUUCUUGCAGAGACCUGCACCAGUGCAUCCUGAACCUGAACCCCGGCACAUGCAUCGAGACACGUAGAGUUUGUGUGUCUUCCUGUCAUCUGCUCUGUUUCUCAAGCGUCCUCGCGUGCGUGCGCUUCAGCAGAGGCUGUGUGUGUGUGUGUGUGUGUGUGAAGAAACACUGAUUUGGAAGUAAAUUAAUUAAUCAUAUUUCAUUCUGACAGUAUCUAAAUCUCACGUGUGUCUGUUCUAAUCAGACCUUUUCAUCAGGCAAACCCCUUUGAGCUUGAAUCCAUUUAAAUAAUUAUUAAACAACUCUCAUGCAUUUAAUUUAAUCUUUUUAAAUGAUUUAUUUAAUAGCUUAAAAUCACUUACAGUACUUGGAGAACAUGUAAAAACUCACUGGCAUUUCAGGAUUGAAUCACAGUUUUUCAAAACUGAUUCUUUUCAGCGUGUGUUAAACUUAAACACGGGUUUAGAAGUGUUUUGUUCAUUUUAAUUUAAAAAUAAUGACUUUUCAGCAUAAAACAAGUGAUAAUCUCAGUCGCAUUUCAGCUGAGCAUUUUAUGAUUUUUAUAAUUUAUUUAACUCUACAUGCUGUUUCAGUGUUUUGUCGUCAUAUCAGCUGUGAUUUAUAAUGAAUUAGUUCACUCUUUAAACAGAUGUUGGUUAGAUGACACGUGACAUGCAGGUAAACCAAAAAGUGCUUUAUUUGUACUAUUUUGAAGUAAUUAAAUGUUCAUUUUGUGAUUACAUGAAUCAUGAGCUCUUCGCCAGCUUACACACUCUUAAAAAUCAAAGGUGUGUUUUCUCACACUGAUUCCAUCGAAGAGCCACUUCUGGUUCCUCAAAGACUCUCAGUGCUCGCUUCUUUAAACAAACAUUCUCGUCUUACAGAAUCUAAAGAACUCUUGUGCAGUGGGAGGAUCCUGUGAAUGUUAAAGGUUUAUAUGUCAAUAAAGCAGCUUUGUUUUCAGUGUGGGAGACUCUU